ACUUAAAUAGCUUAUAAAGAGCAUAGUAUUGAAGAUACUAAGGAGAUUUAAUUAAUCUUUAGGUA
rnacentral:tRNA from 1 species